UACAGAGGGGGCCAGCGUUAUUCGGAAUUAUUGGGCGUAAAGGGCGCGUAGGCGGCCACGCGUGUCUUCCGUGAAAUCCCUCGGCUCAACCGAGGACGUGCGGAAGAAACUGCGAGGCUCGAGUCCAGAAGAGGGGGGCGGAAUUCCCAGUGUAGCGGUGAAAUGCGCAGAUAUCAGGAAGAACACCAAUGGCGAAAGCAGCUCUCUGGGACGGUACUGACGCUGAGACGCGAAAGCGUGGGGAGCGAACAGG
rnacentral:rRNA from 1 species